GAUGAACGCUGGCGGCGUGCCUAAUACAUGCAAGUCGAGCGAACGGACGAGAAGCUUGCUUUUCUGAUGUUAGCGGCGGACGGGUGAGUAACACGUGGAUAACCUACCUAUAAGACUGGGAUAACUUCGGGAAACCGGAGCUAAUACCGGAUAAUAUUUUGAACCGCAUGGUUCAAAAGUGAAAGACGGUCUUUCUGUCACUUAUAGAUGGAUCCGCGCUGCAUUAGCUAGUUGGUAAGGUAACGGCUUACCAAGGCAACGAUGCAUAGCCGACCUGAGAGGGUGAUCGGCCACACUGGAACUGAGACACGGUCCAGACUCCUACGGGAGGAAGCAGUAGGGAAUCUUCCGCAAUGGGCGAAAGCCUGACGGAGCAACGCCGCGUGAGUGAUGAAGGUCUUCGGAUCGUAAAACUCUGUUAUUAGGGAAGAACAUAUGUGUAAGUAACUGUGCACAUCUUGACGGUACCUAAUCAGAAAGCCACGGCUAACUACGUG
rnacentral:rRNA from 1 species